UACGUAGGGUGCGAGCGUUGUCCGGAAUUACUGGGCGUAAAGAGCUCGUAGGUGGUUUGUCGCGUUGUUCGUGAAAUCUCACAGCUUAACUGUGGGCGUGCGGGCGAUACGGGCAGACUGGAGUACUGCAGGGGAGACUGGAAUUCCUGGUGUAGCGGUGGAAUGCGCAGAUAUCAGGAGGAACACCGGUGGCGAAGGCGGGUCUCUGGGCAGUAACUGACGCUGAGGAGCGAAAGCGUGGGGAGCGAACAGG
rnacentral:rRNA from 1 species